rnacentral:lncRNA from 1 species
GCUGGGUGUAAUUAGGCAGCCAGGAUUAAACCCAGGUUUAAAAAGAUGGGGCAUUUUUCUCUCUAUCACCAGCUCAUUAGCUCCCCACUUUGACAGCUGAAGCAUUCCCAAGGCUGGCCGGAGCCAGAUUGUUUUCCUCCAGAGCCAUCAGAGAGCACCUAAGAUUUGGUAAUGAGAUUCUUUGUGACCUGAGAGGAGAGGGCAGCAGAAGGCUGAGUCAUGAACUCCUGGGACAUCUGGACGGACUCUCAGAGCUGCUCCUCCAUCCAGAGAACUGGUCUGGCCAGAGGAGAAGCCUGGUGGAGAAUGGAGCCGGGAGGUGUUCCUGAAGCACACUUCUGAAUGAGUAUUUCUAGUUUAGAAAGAUAGACACAAGGCCUGGAAUCUGAAGAUCUGGGCUCAAGAUCUGCCUGUUGCCCCUUCUUACCUCUUGGUCUGAAUUUGUCACUGCAAAUCAAAUGAUAAAAAGGCAUUAUUGUGAAAGAGCACCAAGUGAGCUUCUGCACAGGUAGGUACUUUGUACACUCUGGAGUUGCUGUGCAAAUGUUAGUCUUCCCUCCUCUAGGCACCCCAGUA